UACGAAGGGGAGCUAGCGUUGUUCGGAAUUACUGGGCGUAAAGCGCACGUAGGCGGCUUUGUAAGUUAGAGGUGAAAGCCCGGGGCUCAACUCCGGAAUUGCCUUUAAGACUGCAUCGCUAGAAUUGUGGAGAGGUGAGUGGAACUGCGAGUGCAGAGGUGAAAUUCGUAGAUAUUCGCAAGAACACCAGUGGCGAAGGCGGCUCACUGGCCCGGUACUGACGCUGAGGCACGAAAGCGUGGGGAGCAAACAGG
rnacentral:rRNA from 1 species